rnacentral:rRNA from 1 species
CCUACGGGGGGCAGCAGUGGGGAAUAUUGCACAAUGGGGGAAACCCUGAUGCAGCGACGCCGCGUGAGUGAAGAAGUAUUUCGGUAUGUAAAGCUCUAUCAGCAGGGGAGAAAAUGACUGUACCUGAUUAAGAAGCCCCGGCUAACUACGUGACAGCAGCCGCUGUAAUACGUCGGGGGCAAUCGUUAUCCGGAUUUACUGGGUGUAAAGGGAGCGUAGUCGGCUGCGCAAGUCUGUAGUGAAAUGCCGGGCAUUAACCCCGGAACUGCUUUGGAAACUGUGCAGCUUGAGUGCAGGAGAGGUAAGUGGAAUUCGUAGUGUAGCGGUGAAAUGCGGAGAUAUUAGGAGGAACACCAGGGGCGAAGGCGGCUUACUGGACUGUAACUGACGUUGAGGCUCGAAAGCGUGGGGAGCAAACAGGAUUAGAUACCCGAGUAGUC